CACUGCCGAGAAAAGCCUCUAGAUAGAAAAUAGGUGCCCGUACCGCAAACCGACACAGGUAGUCAAGAUGAGAAUUCUAAGGUGAGCGAGCGAACUCUCGUUAAGGAACUCGGCAAAAUGACCCCGUAACUUCGGGAGAAGGGGUGCUCUUUAGGGUUAACGCCCAGAAGAGCCGCAGUGAAUAGGCCCAAGCGACUGUUUAUCAAAA
rnacentral:rRNA from 1 species